rnacentral:rRNA from 1 species
GAUGAACGCUGGCGGCGUGCCUAAUACAUGCAAGUAGAACGCACAGUCUAUACCCUUGCUUGUUUCACCUUAGACUGUGACUUGCGAACGACUGAGUAAUGCGUUGGUAAUCUGCCUGGUAGCGCUGGAUAACUCUUGGAAUCGUUCCCUAUUACCUCAUAAUCUUCAUUAUUCCAUGAUAAUUAAUUGACUUGUUCACUUUCAUCACUACCUCCUCGACCUGCUUUGUAUUAGCUAGUAGGUGAGGUAACGGCUCACCUAGUCGAAGAAACAUAUGCGACCUGGAAGGGGGAUCGGCCAAAAUGGGACUGAGAAAAGGCCCAGAAUCCUACGGGAGGCAGCAGUAAGGAAUCUUCGGCAAAGGACGAAAGGCUGACCGAGCAACGCCGGGUGAGUGAAGAAGGUUUUCGGAUCGUAAAGCUCUGGUGUAAGAGAAGAACGGGUGUGAGAGUGGAAAGUUCACACUGUGACGGUAUCUUACCAGAAAGGGACGGCUAACUACGUG